CCUACGGGGGGCAGCAGUGAGGAAUAUUGGUCAAUGGACGAGAGUCUGAACCAGCCAAGUAGCGUGAAGGAUGACUGCCCUAUGGGUUGUAAACUUCUUUUAUAUGGGAAUAAAAUGUUCCACGUGUGGGAUUUUGUAUGUACCAUAUGAAUAAGGAUCGGCUAACUCCGUGCCAGCAGCCGCGGUAAUACGGAGGAUCCGAGCGUUAUCCGGAGUUAUUGGGUUUAAUGGGAGCGUAGGGGGAUUGUUAAGUCAGUUGUGAAAGGUUGCGGCUCAACCGUAAAAUUGCAGUUGAAACUGGAAGUCUGGAGUACAGUAGAGGUGAGCGGAAUUCGUGGUGUAGCGGUGAAAUGCUUAGAUAUCACGAAGAACUCCGAUUGCGAAGGCAGUUCACUGGACUGCAACUGACACUGAGGCUCGAAAGUGUGGGUAGCAAACAGGAUUAGAUACCCGAGUAGUC
rnacentral:rRNA from 1 species